rnacentral:rRNA from 1 species
AUGGCCACCGGCUCGGGCUCAUCGAGCCAAGGAGAAGGAGAGUACCACCUGAUGAGUUGCCUCAAGGAUGUUCCAACCCUCAGAGGCGAUAACUACACUGAAUGGAGAAAGAAAGUUGACUUGGCUUUUGUUUGUGCUGAGGUGGACUGGGUUGUGGACACUCCACAGCCGGUCAAACCAACAGAGCCAGUCAGAGAUGCAAAAGAUAAUGAUGCUGCCUGGGAGAAAAAGAAGAGGGGUCAUGCUCCAGUGGAGAUGUCAUAUUCCAUCGACAACCAAAAGUGGCUCACCGCCAAUAAAAAGUGCAUGGCUUUCAUAAAGAACACAAUUGAAAACGGUAUUGUGGGCUCAAUUGCAGAGUGUACUUUCGUAGGGGAGUUUCUUGAAAAGAUAAAGAACUAG